rnacentral:lncRNA from 1 species
AAUAAUAAAGAUUUGGGAUUUUCAUGUGAGGGAAAAAAAUAUACUAUGUUCAUGGCUUCAUGUUGAAAUACUUAGGAACAGAACUCUUUUGAGAUGUACGGAUGACGUUGACUACCAUACGUUUAUCUCACGUUUGACUAGUCGAUUUAGUUGAUUGUUGACGAUUUUGAUCCUUGCCUUCUUUCGGGGAGGAGAGGAAGGAGG